CGUGGGCAGGCGGAUCUGUUGCAGGGCCGCCCGGUCGCCCGCCGCGGACCGUACCGGCUCGGGCUUCACCAGUGGCUCCCCCGCGAGACGGAACCCCGUCUCCCGCUGCACCACCUCCUGGAAGUCGAUCGGGUCGGCGGAGAUGUAGGUGGUGGCCGACCGCUUCGACGCGUGCGACUUCCUCUUCGAGACCCGCCCCUGCAGGGCCGGGCCGAGGGCAUUCCGCCGGCGAAGGGUGGCGUCUCCGGAUGCAGAGGAGCAAGACGGGGGAGUGAAUUGGUGCUGGAGGAGGAGGAGAGGGGAGGAAAGGGUGUCGGCGGAGGCGGCGGAGGAGGAGGAGGAGGAUGAGGUGGUGGUGUCGGAGAGGGAGAUCUGGAGGGCCAUGGCGACGGCCGCGUUCUCGCGGGCAGAGACCUCGCUGAUCCACGCCGAUUCCGAGUGGUACACCCACGGAUCGAGCACCGAGCAGUUGUCCGCCAUAUCCCUCGGCGGAUUCGAGGAUCGAGAAGGGCGAUCGAUUGGGAUUGGAGCUCAGAAGGGAGUGAAGGCGAAUGGUGAGAGGCACGGAGG
rnacentral:lncRNA from 1 species